rnacentral:sRNA from 1 species
GUCUAGAACAGUUGACAUAAUACCACAUGUACUAGAUUUUAACCCGCGGUACACCGCGGAUACAAUUCAUUUUUUAAAAUUAAUAUAUAUAAAAAUUUGUAAAUUAUUUUAUAGUUUACCAUUGUUACUAAGUAACGUCCUGCCAAACCCGUCCUGCUAAACCCGUCCACAAAAAAAAACUAUUUAUUUUAUUAAUGUUGAACUUAUUUAUAAUAUGUUUAUGAAUCAUUGUCAAAAUAUUUUAGUCAUUGCGGGACGUUGAACCCACACAGUUUUUGCCAAUUGGUUAAUAUAUGUUCAUUCUUAAAAUUUCGAAUCACAUAAUAUGACGAAAUGUUUUUUGAGAUUUUUUUAAACUCUAUAUAUUAUAUAAUGAUGUUAAUUAUUUUUGAUAGAUUAAACUUUUUAU